rnacentral:rRNA from 1 species
AUGAACGCUGGCGGCGUGCCUCAUACAUGCAAGUCGAGCGAACAGACGAGGAGCUUGCUCCUCUGACGUUAGCGGCGGACGGGUGAGUAACACGUGGAUAACCUACCUAUAGGACUGGGAUAACUUCGGGAAACCGGAGCUAAUACCGGAUAAUAUAUUGAACCGCAUGGUUCAAUAGUGAAAGACGGUUUUGCUGUCACUUAUAGAUGGAUCCGCGCCGCAUUAGCUAGUUGGUAAGGUAACGGCUUACCAAGGCAACGAUGCGUAGCCGACCUGAGAGGGUGAUCGGCCACACUGGAACUGAGACACGGUCCAGACUCCUACGGGAGGCAGCAGUAGGGAAUCUUCCGCAAUGGGCGAAAGCCUGACGGAGCAACGCCGCGUGAGUGAUGAAGGUCUUCGGAUCGUAAAACUCUGUUAUUAGGGAAGAACAAAUGUGUAAGUAACUAUGCACGUCUUGACGGUACCUAAUCAGAAAGCCACGGCUAACUACGUG